rnacentral:lncRNA from 1 species
GGGGGAUAUCGCGGCGGAAUAAGGAAACCGAGGCACGCAGACACCCCCGCCCCCGGGGGGAGAUUGCAACAAGGGCUCUUGAGCUGACUGCAAGGUGAAGCUUCCAUACAUUGCACAAAAGAUUCCCUCUUCAAUGAGAGAACAAGAGAGGUGUCUAGGAGCUGGGAAGUUGUGAUCUCCCCGGCUCAGGAGGGAACCAAGCCGAGGCUGAGCAAAUCUGAGAUGGAAACUCAUGCUCUCCACUUCCUGAAAGCAGUCUGCCCCUGAGCCCCCUUGGAGUCUACCCCGGAUGGAUGGGAUGAAGGAAGCCAGAGGUAUCAGCCUGUCACUGUUCUUUGUCACAGAUCUCAAGGUCUACUCUCACCAAUGCUUUCUAUAAUCGCCACCCUGUCCCGAAUGAAUGAAUGAAUGAAUGAAUGAAUUAAAAUUAAAUACAAAGAAGUCACCAGGUGCCGGGCAGUGGUAUCAUACACGUUUAAUCCCAGCACUUGGGAAGCAGAGGCAAGCAGAUUUCUGUGAGUUUGAGGCUAGCCUGGUCUACUGAGCAAGUUCCAGGACAGCCAGGGCUACACAGAGAAACCCUGUCUCAAAAAAACAAAACAUAACAAAAUGAAAUAAAAUAAAAGUCACCAGGCCAGCAGGAUGGCUCAGUGGGUAAAGACACUUGAUAUUUGACACCAAGCAUGAUGGGUAGCCUGGGUUCAACCUCCAGGUCCCGUGUCUUGGAAGGAAGGAGAGAGAAAAACACUCAUAAGAACAUUGUUCUUUGUACUGCAUGUGAGUGCUGUGCACAUGUCCCCUCAUAAAUAAAUGUAAAAAAAAUCAGUUGUAAAAAAUAACAGUUAGUAUAAUAAAACAAUAAAACAGCCACAUCUGUAGAAUGUCCUCCAUCUGAGACAGGACAUCAGAGACAGUGGCCUGACGUUCUGAGUGACAGGAGGCCACAGUCUGGAAGAUUGCUCUGGUUCUGAUGCCAGCCCUGGAGCUGCCCGGCUAUGACGUAAAGCCCCCUUCCUCCCGAGUCCCAGUUUAUUCAUCUACAGAAUCAGAAGUCCCAGGCUGGGCAUGAGGCUCAGUGGACGCAGUGCUAACCUAGCAUGGGUGAAACUUCCUGCCUCCAGCGAGGCAUAACCAGAUGUGGCUGAAUUUGUCAUCCCAGUACUGGAGAGGAGAGGCAGCAGAUUGGGAAUUGAACGUUGUCUCCAGCUACAUAGAGUUUGAGGUUAGUCUGGUUUAUGUUAGACACUGGGCGGGGGGGUGGGGGGGGUGGGGGGGUGGUAAGAGGAGAGGAGAGAGAAACAGAGGGAGAAAAGAGAGGGACAGAGGAGGGGAGAAGGAGAGAGACAAAGAGACAGGCAGAGAGGCAGAGAGGGUGACAUAGGUGGGGAGGAGUUGGGCUGGAAAAAUGGUUCGCUGGCAGAUGUUUGCCGUCCAAACCAGGCAACCCAAGUAAAGAUGAAAGAGGAGAACUGAUUUCAUAAACUUGCUCUCUGACCUCCAUCCUUUGUUAUUUGCAUUCACACACACACCCCCACACACACCACACACACAAACUUAUAAAUAAGAGAGUAAUAAUAAUAAUAAUAAUAAAUAAUAAAAAGAUAUGGUGGUGUUCACCUUUAAUCCUAGCACUUGGGAAGCAGAGGCAGGCAGAUCUCUGUAAGCUCAAGGCUAACCUGGGUUACAUAGGGAGUUCCAGGCUAGCUUGGACUACAUAGAGAGACUCUGUCUCAAAUACAUACAUAUGUAUACAUACAUACAUACGAAAGAAAAAAAGGAUAAAUUCAAGAGACAUGCAACAAUUCAUUAAAGUAAUAAAUUUCAUGUACAGUUUACUAAAAGUCCACAUGCCUCAGAACUCAGUCAGAAGUGUCACUGUUUUUGCUGUUUUUAGCAUGCUGUAGAUUAAUUAAUUUUAAUUAAUUAAAAUUAAAUACAAAGAAGUCACCAGGUGCCAGGCAGUGGUAUCAUACACUUUUAAUCCCAGCACUUGGGAAGCAGAGGCAAGCAGAUUUCUGUGAGUUUGAGGCUAGCCUGGUCUACUGAGCAAGUUCCAGGACAGCCAGGGCUACACAGAGAAACCCUGUCUCAAAAAAACAAAACAUAACAA